rnacentral:lncRNA from 1 species
CAAAGAUUCUCUUAAAGAGAAAUUCUCUUAAGGUUGAAAUCUGAGGGUUUAGGGGUGGAUUCUGGCAGAUCCUAAGGUCUGGGAUCUCUGGAAAGCCCUGAAAUUUAUGCAUUUCACCAUGAUGAAGACAUCUAGUAGGUUUUAAGAAAAAUAAGAGAGUAGUGGAUUAAUCACUGGUUAAGAGCCAACAGACUUCACUCCUCCAACAAUCAGCUAUGAUACUGUGUCUGUGUCUACAUUAUGCAUUUUCAAAAGGCGAAGAGUUGAUUCCAGAAGGAACUGUGAAGAGCCACAACAAUGUGCCAGUGAAUAAUGAGUAGUACCUACUGUGGCAACUCUUCAGCUAAGAUGAGUGUCAACGAAGUAUCAGCUUUCUCAUUGACUCUGGAGCAAAAAACUGGCUUUGCUUUUGUUGGGAUUUUGUGUAUCUUCUUGGGACUUCUUAUUAUCCGAUGCUUCAAAAUCCUGCUAGACCCAUAUAGUAGCAUGCCUUCCUCUACAUGGGAAGAUGAAGUUGAAGAGUUUGAUAAAGGGACAUUUGAAUAUGCACUCGCGUGAGAGUUCCAGCUAUAUGGUUUUUAUGGUUGUGCCAUCGGGACACAUUCUGGAUACAAUUGUAACUACCUUGAGGGUGUGGGAGAGAGGCUCAUUUUGUUCAGUGAAUUCAAUAAACAUCUGUGACUAAUUUCUUCACCAUGCUGUGUAAAUGAUAAACUAUUGUUGGGAUUCCUCACUUUCCUCUGUUCCCACUUAGAGGUUUCCAAUGAAUAGAGCAUAAGGAUGGCUGCAGCCAUGUUUACCAUCUUUAUUCUUAUCUUGAACAACUGCCUUGAAUUUCUGCUUCCUUUCUUG